GACGGGGACGGCCGGCCGCUGGACGGUGCGACCACCCGCUACGAGGUCCGGCUGGAGACGCCGCCGCCGGCCGGCGCGUUCUGGAGCGUGACCCUGUAC
rnacentral:tRNA from 1 species